UGAGUAACACGUAUCCAACCUGCCUCAAAGAGGGGGACAACAGUUGGAACGACUGCUAAUACCGCAUAAGCCCACGGCUCGGCAUCGAGCAGAGGGAAAAGGAGCAAUCCGCUUUGAGAUGGCCUCGCGUCCGAUUAGCUAGUUGGUGAGGUAACGGCCCACCAAGGCGACGAUCGGUAGCCGGACUGGGAGGUUGAACGGCCACAUUGGGACUGAGACACGGCCCAG
rnacentral:rRNA from 1 species